rnacentral:tRNA from 1 species
GGGGUUGUGGCUCAGUGGUAGAGCGCUCACAUAGCACAUGUGAGGCCCUUUGUUCAAUCCUCAGCACCACA